rnacentral:rRNA from 1 species
AUACGUAGGGGGCGAGCGUUGUCCGGAAUGAUUGGGCGUAAAGGGCGUGUAGGCGGCCUGAUAAGUUUGGAGUGAAAGUCCUGUUUUCAAGAUGGGAAUUGCUUUGGAUACUGUCGGGCUUGAGUGCAGAAGAGGUAAGCGGAAUUCCCAGUGUAGCGGUGAAAUGCGUAGAGAUUGGGAGGAACACCAGUGGCGAAGGCGGCUUACUGGGCUGUAACUGACGCUGAGGCGCGAAAGCGUGGGGAGCGAACAGGAUUAGAUACCCUGGUAGUCCACGCUGUAAACGAUGAUUACUAGGUGUGGGGGGACUGACCCCUUCCGUGCCGCAGUUAACACAAUAAGUAAUCCACCUGGGGAGUACGGCCGCAAGGUUGAAACUCAAAUGAAUUGGCGGGG